rnacentral:lncRNA from 1 species
UGCAACGAGCCAGAGCCAGUGGAGCCUACGCGGCUUCAGAACCCUGUAUGCAGGCGGCAAAGAGCCUGUCUUGUUGCCGUGGUGUCCCAACUUGACUGCCCGCCCUGGGGCUUCGGCUGCUGGAGGACAGGUCUGGGAGACCCAAAAAGGCAAAUAAUCUUGAGAUGAAACUGUGUGCUGGUAAAUGCGAUACAAGAAUGAACCGAAUCCUAGUAGGACAUUUUCCUGAGCUGAACAGACCCCUGAGUCCAGGAUGGACGACGGCAAAGGAGAGCUCCCGGGCAAACCUGGCAGAUUCCUGAGCUUCAAGAGUCCCUGCUUACAGAUGGGGAUCCUGAGACUCAGCAAAAAAGCAGAAUGGAACCCAGGACCCCGAAGGGUGGGGUCCGUCAGUCUGUCUAUCCGAUCCUUCUCAUGAUGUGGAGUUUCCGGGGGAUUCCCCACCCAGAACGCAGAGCCUUCCAGAAUCCGUCACGAGGAACCAGGCACUUAAACAUCUGACCAAGGACAGAGAACUGGGACCCACAUCAGUCAACGUUCCGCUGCUGGGCCAGACUGGCGAGUGAACCUGUAAAUAGCCUGGAGCCCCAGAGGUGGGGCCAGGGACCUUGUCCCCAACAGCUGUGGCCCUACGUGACACUUGCUGGUGCUUGUUGAACAAGGGAAAAAUACUAAGGACCACCCCACACAUUUGCGAUUUCCUCGUGCUUCAUUUCAGCCCCAACCCACUGUCGAUGACAGCUGCCGCCGACCCGUCCGCGGCCCCGCAGGCCUUGGAGGAUGCCAGCCAUUCAGUCACGGUUGACAACCAAGGCCUGGCAAGUCGCCAGGCAAAUGUGGCUCCAGGCACCUCUGUCCUCCUCACCCUGGUCUUGUCACGAUUCGUCAGCAGUCCGGGGAGGCAGAGAAGCUGAGACACACGGUGGGGGGGAGGUGGCAGAGAAUGCGGUGCAGUCCAGGAGGCAAGGCCCCACCUGCUCACACCCUCGGGGCCCGGAUGUGCCCCCACCUGCUCUGCACUACCCUGAGACCAAGAGAGGCCUGCCUGACCAGGACUUUGAGGCUCCCAGCAAAUCAAGGUGAUUCCCUGCUGGACGCUCCCACUUUCCAGAUCUGAGGAAGCAAGGCCCAGAGAGGGUGAGUCCUCAGUCACUCUCCUGGCCCGUUAGCCACAGACCCACCCGUGUCCCUCCUUACCCCACUUCCAGCUCCAGUGACCCACAGGCCUGGUGACCCCAACGGGCCCAGUCGCUGGGUCUUGGUUUCGGAAUCCCCUUGCCCGGCAGCCGGGAAGACUGAGAGCUGAUGCCCUUGAAGCCGCUGCGGUGGCUCCCGGGAGAUUUCCUGACCUGCCUACUGACCGUCGGCGGACUUGGCGCAGGCGCUCUGGGCCACAGCAUCCUCAUCUGCAAAGCCGGAUGGGGUCAGGGGCCAGCUCCCGACUCACUUCCAACAUCGGCAUCACUGUGGUUCAUGGUUCUGUAAUUCCUGACAGCCCUCAGCUGGGAUUUCCAAAGGGGCAUGCAUGGAACAUUCUGGGACCUCCAAAAGGCGAGGUGAGGCGUGGGAGGGUGACAGGAGAAGCCCAUUUGUGUGCAGAAGGACCUGAGUCCUGAGAAAGGCCGUAGGACCAAACACCGGCCUUUUCUCUAAAGUUCGAAGAGCCAACGGUGAUGAUAUUAACAUCAGUGUCAACGACCAUUGUCACAUGCAUGCUCGUGACCGCUCGGAGCCGGCACUGAGCACCUAGACCCUAAUGUGUGCCAUCCCCUGGUCUAGGUUCUGGGCACGCAGCCUAGAACGUCUGCGAGAAAGGCCUGUGCUCCCGGAGCUGAUGUACUAACAGGGGGGACAGAGAGGCAGUGAACAAGACAGUUUUGGGGAGAAGAGCAAAUUCCAGGGUGGAAGAGACUCCAGGAUGGGAGUCGGGGGUACGUGCAGGAGACGGUGUGAGCCCCUGGCCUGCAGAUGAGCCCUGUGAUUCACUGAGCCUUCUUGGGGGGAGGGCUGGUUUCCAGUUACUAGGUGAGAGAGCUGGGCGCAGAAAGGGGGAGCCUCCCUACCACGGGUCACACGGCCAACUGAGGCCAAGAGAGCUUGCUAGGAUUAGAACCCAACCUUCUGGACCCUAGGGUGAUCCCUCACCAGUUCGUACCAGCUAGGCCUGCCAGUAACAAUGGGCUGGUCUCUUUAGGCAAGAAUCAAAAGCUCCUUUUGUAAACGGAAGGGGGGAAAAAAAAAAAAGAGAGAGGAAAAAACCCAAUAAAGAUAAUUCCUUCUGCUCCCUCUGGCCA